AGUGAGUAAGCAGCUAUAACAAGUCCAGCCACAGCUGAAAUGGGAGCCUUGAAGCCACCUUGAAAGUAGAGACUGAGAAGAGGAUACACAAGAUGUGACUGUCCUUGGGCAAGAUACAUAGCAUCAUCAAGUUGGGACCAUACGGUAGACAAAGAGAAGAACAACAUGAGGUCUGAAAGAAAGGCUGGAAGAUCAACUCCUAUUUGCAUUGACCAGAGACUUGGAGGAGGAAACCUGUAUUGUAUUUGUUUUGUUUUGUUUUUUAAGUGAACCACAGAGAUAUUUAUAUGUAAAACGAGAAUCAUUAGAAGAAUGUGGCUUGUUAAAAACAACAGUAACCAAAACCAACCUAACCAAACAAACAAACAAAAAGCAGAAUGGAAAACAGUGAAAACUAGAAGCCACGAAGACACUAUGGCUGCCAUGCCAGGCAUUUCUGCUUCACUACAGAUCUUUAAUUCGGUGUUGAGGUACAUAUUAACAGGCAAGUCUUCAGAUAUAUGAGGACAUGUAAAGGAGUUAAAUAAACCAAAGACCCUACACAAAAGGAAAAGAGAAAUGUAAUUUAGUUUAAAAGGCAGUGUCUUGUUCUUAGGCAGUGAUUACUACCACCUCCAUUGUAGAGUACAACAAAAAUCCACAACUAAGAGAAUGGGUAAACUGAGUUCAUGUAAAUGAGACUUUCAUGUUUUAUUUUUCCUGUUUUGCAUUCCUUGAAAUAUAAAUAUUUCAUCUAAAUGCCAACGGACCUGUUCAAAAUUCCUACAAGGGGAUGGGAAGAUAGCUCCAUCGAUUAAGAACACUUGCUCUGAAAGCAGAGACACUCAGUUCAAAACCCCAGCAUCCACAAAAACCAUCAAGAACAGUUGUACAUGCCUGUAACCCCAACAUUGAGGGUUGAAACAGGUGAAUUUCCAGCGUUCACUAGCCAUCUUCAGGUUCAAUGAAGUCAUCAUAUCUCAAGGCCAUAAGGCAGAUAACCAUUAAAGAAGACAUCCAAAGUCUUGUUCUGGGCUUCCACGUGUACAAAUCUGUACACACCUGGACAGACUUUGUGCAGAUUGCCACAGCUUCUGUGAUUUACCACUACAAGGACAUGGCAACCCAGAAGACAUUUCAUAGAACAUCUCCUCAACCUUGUCUGUAUUUAUUUUUCUUUUUUACAGAAACCAAACUGUUCUUUCUAUGAUUUAGAACAUCAUUUCAAUGGUUUUUUUUCCCCAGAAAUUUCCAAUUAUUCUAGGUUUAAAUAAUCCUUCCUUAAUUUAAAGUACUUUGUGGAAUGAAUACAGAAAGAGCCUCAGUCCAGUAACUGUAUUUGCAUGGAUGUACUUCAUAUACUCUUGUUAUGUCAGGCUUCUUUCUUACGAGUUUUGUGCCUUUAUAUGAGGUGGCAGCAUUCAUAUUGUAAAUAUGGACCUUAAUGUUGCUUUAUCAUCACUACAAAAAUAACAUCCUAUCUCAAGAUAAUAGGAGUUGUGUUUUCAGUAUUGCUACUGCUGAAAAGUCCUGGUAAUUCUAAUUUUUUUUUGCACUGCAAAGUAACCAGAAAGAAAAACUUCAUGGGACAGAUCUUUAAGGUCUUUCUUGGUGUUUUAUGAAGGAUUAUUAGGAGAAAAUAACUUCUUUGCUGAAAUGUCUCCAUAUAUAUGGUGUGUGUGUGUGUAUGUAUUUCUGUGUAUCUUCAUCAUAAUUAUAGUAUUUCAUAUAUCACUUCAGUAUUAAUAUGCAAAUUGUGGUUUUGAUUUAGGAAAUUUGGAAUGUUACAUAAUAUUAAUGGUCACUUGACAAUGAUAUGAUUUGGUCAAAAAUUUAUUCAUUUUAAAGUAUUCUAAAAUAAAAGCAGUUUUCAACUAAUGUGUAUUUAAUCUCUACUAGAAUUACAUCAGAUAACUACAUAAAAUGUAUGCUUUUCAUUUAAUAAAAUCAUUGAUGUGCAGAAA
rnacentral:lncRNA from 1 species